ensembl:miRNA
AAAGCCAGCCAGACUCCUCCUGCAGCUCUGGUGGAAAACGGAGAAGACUUUUCCUUUCCUCCAUCUCCCCCAGGGCCUGGUGGAGUGAGGCGUUGUCCAGCUGUAAACUGU